AACAUGCUCCCUUAGAUCCACCUUUUGUGGAUGUCUACCUGGUCCUGAGUUCUGCUUGAUGUUUAGCAGUUCCAGGUCAGGGAUAUCCAGCAACUUUCUGGUUGUACAGUUGAAGGUGCUUGAGUCAUUGGCAUGUGAGAUUAAUAUACCUGUAUGGCGGCAUUGAGUGCUCUGCUAGCAGUGGUUGCAACAUUGUUGUAUGCCAUGUUCCACUAUCAGAGCUUUGCUGACACACGGACAUG